GCACCCUAUUGGCAAAAAAAAAAAAAAAAAUAUAUAUAUAUAUAUAUAUAUAUAUAUAUAUAUAUAUAUAUAUAUAUAUAUAUAUAUUAACAUGGCUAAAUUGUUUUUAAUUCGUGGUUUAAGGAUGUUUUUUUUUAUUUUUUUGCAGGGAAGAAUGACAAAAUUACAUAUAUUACUGAAUUUAUUUGUUCCUUGAAAUCAAAAUGGCAAAUUCUAAUUUUUUGUUAAUGAAAAAUUGCAGUGUUUAAUAUAAGUGAUUUAUCCAUGCAUGUCUUUUUUCUUCUUCAAUUUUUUGUCCUUAUAAUCUUCUAUCAAAAAAUGUCCCCUUUCCCUUGCAACAUUCUUCUUCUCAGACUGUUUUUACACAAAGUGCAAAUUUUGCAUUUUUUUUUCUAACCACCUAAAUCCAUUCUGGUACAUAACUUCUCAAAAUCCUAUCAGUUAGCAAUGGCUAAAAUUCUAUCAAGCCCUCUCACUAAAUAUCCUGUUUCACUCGGAAAUACGUCACAAUAUGGAAGUGAAAUGUGUUGUGAAGGCCAUUUCACACUGAGUUUUCCAGUGAACUCCAGCUUCCUGUUCUAAGCUCCACACCUGAAACUAGUCACAAAGCCCAUCUCACGCCAUCAGUUUCUCUCUCUCUUUCUCUGAGUUUUUGUCUUUCUCUAGGGGCCUUGUGCCUGACACCGCUGUCACCCACCCUCCCGCGUCCUCCCCCCCGAAUCGACAUGCUCCACUUCAUUUUACGAGCAGCACACUGCACUUCACUAAAAGAAGAAAAAAGAAUGGGAGAAAACUCACUGAAAAAAACAGAGGUUUAGAGAGGGUGACUGUGUGUAGAAGAGAAAGAGAAAAAGAGGGAGAGGUGUUUGUUGGAAACAGAGCGCUGAAGGAAUAACUGGAUGACUGAAGACAAGACGGUGCACAGCAGAGGGAGUGAAAACAUCUGAGCUGAUGCAUGAGGGAGCGCAGGACAUGCUCUUCUCCUCAGCUCACAUCACAAAAUGGCCGCCCACAGACGCCCAUCUACCCCGAGGCUGGAAACCAGAACCAGACCAGAUCAAUGAACCCAUCAUAGUGCCAGCCGGCUGGCGCUUCAGGGUGCUGGACUACGCAGGCAGCAGGUGACACGGAUUUCAAUAAAAGGGAUUAUGGAUGUGAGGACUGCAGAGACGGAGAACACACACAUCUAACAUACAUGUGCACACAUCUUUUCCGCAUAUGCACAGUGCUAUUUAACAACACCAGCACCCCUUAUCCCAGUGAAUUGUGUGUUUGAAUUAUACAUAGAAUUGUGCUAGGAGAAAAAAAAAUAUCCCUUAAUGAACUGCUGUGCUAACUUUAAGCUACUUAAUAAUAGUAGUUUACAUUAGUUAUAUGUGCUUUUUGCAAAUCCGACAACUUUUGAAAGUUCAGUACUGGCCCAAUUAUUGGUGCUUCCCCAACUGUCCUGACAGGUAAUGUUGAGCGUAUCUCCCUAUAAUUGGAAAGAAGGGGGAAAUAGCAUUUGGCGAAACAUGCAAAUGUACAAAGAGCAUUCUCAACUACUUAUAUCAUUGACGUAGAUGAAGAUGUAAAGUUUAGCAGUUCGCAGUUUCGCAAAAACUCCUAACAAGAUGGUGUGGUACUAGUGUUUACGAGAUUAUGAACAUGUUUUAAUGAAGGCUCAAUGGUAUUGGCCACUUCAGUGGUCUGUCUGAGAUGUCCAAUCCCAAAUAAUUGUUUGCAUUGUCCUUCACCCCAUUGCUGCAAUACUUGAUUGUGUGAGUGUGUGUGUGUGUGUGUGCGCGCGCGUGUGUGUGUGUGUAGGUGGACAGAAGGCCUUGGCGUGACCUGCCACAGCCUC
ensembl:lncRNA